rnacentral:rRNA from 1 species
CAUGCAAGUCGAGCGCCCCGCAAGGGGAGCGGCAGACGGGUGAGUAACGCGUGGGAAUCUACCCAUCACUACGGAACAACUCCGGGAAACUGGAGCUAAUACCGUAUACGUCCUUCGGGAGAAAGAUUUAUCGGUGAUGGAUGAGCCCGCGUUGGAUUAGCUAGUUGGUGGGGUAAUGGCCUACCAAGGCGACGAUCCAUAGCUGGUCUGAGAGGAUGAUCAGCCACACUGGGACUGAGACACGGCCCAGACUCCUACGGGAGGCAGCAGUGGGGAAUAUUGGACAAUGGGCGAAAGCCUGAUCCAGCCAUGCCGCGUGAGUGAUGAAGGCCCUAGGGUUGUAAAGCUCUUUCAACGGUGAAGAUAAUGACGGUAACCGUAGAAGAAGCCCCGGCUAACUUCGUGCCAGCAGCCGCGGUAAUACGAAGGGGGCUAGCGUUGUUCGGAAUUACUGGGCGUAAAGCGCACGUAGGCGGAUUGUUUAGUUAGGGGUGAAAUCCCAGGGCUCAACCCUGGAACUGCCUCUAAUACUGGCAAUCUAGAGUCCGAGAGAGGUGAGUGGAAUUCCGAGUGUAGAGGUGAAAUUCGUAGAUAUUCGGAGGAACACCAGUGGCGAAAGGCGGCUCACUGGCUCGGUACUGACGCUGA